rnacentral:rRNA from 1 species
AGUAGAGUGGCGGACGGCCUGUUUAACGCGUGGGAAUCUACCCAGUAGUGGGGGACAACUACCGGAAACGGUAGCUAAUACCGCAUACGCCCUAUGGGGGAAAGGCUUCGGCCGCUAUUGGAUGAGCCCGCGUCAGAUUAGCUAGUUGGUAGGGUAAAGGCCUACCAAGGCAACGAUCUGUAGCUGGUCUGAGAGGACGAACAGCCACACUGGGACUGAGACACGGCCCAGACUCCUACGGGAGGCAGCAGUGGGGAAUAUUGGACAAUGGGCGAAAGCCUGAUCCAGCAAUGCCGCGUGUGUGAAGAAGGCCUGCGGGUUGUAAAGCACUUUCAGUUGGGAAGAUGAUGACGUUACCAACAGAAGAGGCACCGGCUAAAUCCGUGCCAGCAGCCGCGGUAAUACGGAUGGUGCGAGCGUUAAUCGGAUUUACUGGGCGUAAAGCGCGCGUAGGCGGCUAAGUCAGUCAGAAGUGAAAGCCCCGGGCUCAACCUGGGAAUUGCUUUUGAUACUGCUUAGCUAGAGUUUGGUAGAGGAUAGUGGAAUUCCAGGUGUAGCGGUGAGAUGCGUAGAUAUCUGGAGGAACAUCAGUGGCGAAGGCGACUGUCUGGACCAAAACUGACGCUGAGGUGCGAAAGCGUGGGUAGCAAACAGGAUUAGAUACCCUGGUAG